GGACUACUGGGGUAUCUAAUCCCGUUCGCUCCCCUAGCUUUCGUGCCUCAGCGUCAGAAAAGACCCAGUACGCCGCUUACGCCACCGGUGUUCCUUAGGAUAUCAACGCAUUUCACCGCUCCACCCUAAGUUCCGCGUACCCCUAUCUUCCUCUAGCAAAGUAGUUUCGGGCGCAAUUCCUCAGUUGAGCUGAGGGAUUUCACACCCGACUUACUCCGCCGCCUACGCACCCUUUAAGCCCAGUAAUUCCGAAUAACGUUAGCAAGGUUCGUCUUACCGCGGCGGCUGGCAC
rnacentral:rRNA from 3 species